rnacentral:lncRNA from 1 species
AAAUUUCUUAGAACUCAUUUUAUUUCAGUGGCAUAAUUCGUGAUAUACAAGGUCAAAUUUAUUUUUAACUAGAAUUCAUUUCACAUUGAAGAAUACAUGAUGUGAUGAGAUGCGUUGAUGAGAUACAGAUGGUGGCAUGGAUCAACCCUCCACGACCAAAGCCUUAAAACAAGGAGACAUAGCCCUAAAACAAGAACCAAAAUAAUUUUAGCAGACCAGACAGAAAAUUUAUGAAAAUGACUCUGAGAUCUACUUUAAAACAUUCAAGACACAAAUCAAAGAACAUAGACAAAUCGGAUUGUAGAAGAACCACGAAAACCGGAUAAAUAUGAAAAGCUCCUUACGAAAAACCAUUAGAGGGCCUUGAUAAACUGCUCCGAAAACGGAGUCCCAAGGACAACAUUGACAUAUCCAAAUCUUAAGAUCUCUUUAUAUUGCUCCGGAGAAGCGGAGCCAACGAGACUGCAAGGAAAAGCCAGAACGAAGAUGCAAUAUAUUCUUCUCGAGAGAACAUAACAAGGAGCAAACUAGCGAUGGUGGAGACUUCUACAACUGAAGCGGAAAAGUACUGGUAGAUGAACCACCUCUGCAGAAAUGAAAACGGCCAGAUCUGCCACAAUAAAAAACCAAAAAAGUAGCCAGAUCCAGACUUGAAAGGCAUAAACGAUCUUUAAUUUGUGUCUACAAGCAGAAACCCGGAACCAAAACAGAGAAAAUACACGUCUACACCAAGUUAGAAACAACGACAAACCCCCUUCUUAAACACUAUCUCCUUUCCGAUUAGGUUAUCAAACUAAAGAGAUCUUUAGAUUUCGCCAUUAAUACAAGAAAAAGAUCCCCACCAUAGCAUGAGACAAAACUUAAGCUAGAAAUAUCUUAAAAGAACCACACCGAAAUGAUUUACAAACAUGAGAGCACUACCGGAGCUGAAGAUUUGAAAAUCUGAAAGGUUUUUGGUGAAGAGAGAAGAUGAAGAGUUUAGGGUAGAGAAAGAAGAUAAUGUUAAUUUUAGGGCUUAUUUGCAGAAUAGCCAUAUUUUAAACAUAGAUUA